UGAAGUUGUUUCAUGUCUAAAAGUUAUCUUGUCUAAAAAAGAAGUUUCGGGGAUUAAUCUCCCUUAUGAGGUAACUGUAUCCUAAGCUUUUUCCAUAGGAUGCAAGGGUUGGUGGACUAAACAAUCCUCGUUUUAUCGUGCUUCUUUUCUUUGGAAGGGUCUUGCAAGAAUUGCCCCCAUGGUGUUUGAAAGAUUUACCUUCUUGCUGGGUAAUGGUAUGAACAUCAGAUUUUGGUGGGAC